rnacentral:rRNA from 1 species
AGUGGACGCUGGCGGUAGGCCUAACACAUGCAAGUCGAACGGCAGCACAGUAAGAGCUUGCUCUUACGGGUGGCGAGUGGCGGACGGGUGAGGAAUACAUCGGAAUCUACUUUUUCGUGGGGGAUAACGUAGGGAAACUUACGCUAAUACCGCAUUCGACCUACGGGUGAAAGCAGGGGAUCUUCGGACCUUGCGCGAUUGAAUGAGCCGAUGUCGGAUUAGCUAGUUGGCGGGGUAAAGGCCCACCAAGGCGACGAUCCGUAGCUGGUCUGAGAGGAUGAUCAGCCACACUGGAACUGAGACACGGUCCAGACUCCUACGGGAGGCAGCAGUGGGGAAUAUUGGACAAUGGGCGCAAGCCUGAUCCAGCCAUACCGCGUGGGUGAAGAAGGCCUUCGGGUUGUAAAGCCCUUUUGUUGGGAAAGAAAAGCAGCAGGUUAAUACCCCACUGUUCUGACGGUACCCAAAGAAUAAGCACCGGCUAACUUCGUG